rnacentral:rRNA from 1 species
CGGACGGGUGGGUAAUGCUUGGGAAGUCUGGCUUAUGGAGGGGGAUAACUACGGGAAACUGUAGCUAAUACCGCGUAAUAUCGAAAGAUUAAAGUGUGGGACCUUCGGGCCACAUGCCAUGGGAUGAGCCCAAGUGGGAUUAGGUAGUUGGUGGGGUAAAGGCCUACCAAGCCUGCGAUCUCUAGCUGGUCUGAGAGGAUGGCCAGCCACACUGGAACUGAGACACGGUCCAG